UUUUGAACUCAACGCGAAGAUUCUGGAUGAAUUGCUCCAACAGCAACUGUUGGAAACGACAAAAAAAUUUGAAUGGGCCAAUAAAUGAACCAAUUGUAUCAAUAAAUUGGUUAAUUUUCAUCCUAUUUGUCUUUUUGUAUUUGAAAUUAUUUAAUUACAAAGCAAAAAAUCCUGGAAACAGAGAAAUGGGGAAGUGAAAAAUUGGAGUAAACGUUUCUCAUUGGUCAAUUGAAGUGUAGCGCGCGACAGUCGAAUAAGCUCUGUGAAAGCGGCUGUCCCUUAAUGCAUGGUACAUUUGCGUUAAAUUCGACAUUUGAUUCAACAUGGCGGUUGACGUGGCAGGUUCGCGUGUGUAAUGCAUGGUGUGUUGGUGUUAUUAUCAAAGUAUAAUUCUGUCACGUUCAGUGUACCAUUUAUAAUUUGGGGUUGUUCAAUUUGCAGUACAGCGAAUAGUUUGAUUUUGAAUAUUCAAACAGGAGAGUUGCAUAUAUUCAGUCUUCAAGAAAAGUUCGAGGAGAGUUGGUGUGUGGGAUUUGUUGGUUUGACUAAGUACAUGUUUGAACUAGAGUGAUUUCAGUUGUGUAUCUUCAAUAGAGAAAAAUAGUAUCAAUUUGCCCAAAAGGAAACAGAGUGGUACCUGGUACAGGCAGGUGCGCCAAGGAACUGAAAACGUAAUGAGUACUUUUCAACAAGACAGUGCAAGUUGCUCUCCAAGUCAUAAAAUGUUGUAAAUGUUCAUGAGUAACCUAUGCGAAAAAUAUCUA
rnacentral:lncRNA from 1 species